UUUAACACUAGAACUACUGAUAGUUAACACGAAGCUAUUUCUACCAAAACCAGUGAAAAUGACUGGUCUUUAAAAGUACGUGAUAAUAAAAUAUUUUUAUAUUUAUUGAUUUAUUACUUUCUUACAGAAGCAAUUCAAUAUUUUUGGUAUUAUUAAUCCAUCUGGGAUCCCUAAACGAGGGUUGACAUAUUUAUAAAAUUGUAGAACCAGUUGUUUUGACUGCUGUGGUAUUUCUAGCGUUAGCAUCUAGCUAUC
rnacentral:misc_RNA from 1 species